rnacentral:rRNA from 1 species
AGGGAAUGCGGGCUUCGGGUUGUUAACCUUUUUCCGUUGGGAAGGAGGCCCUUUUUGGGGGUGACGGUACUUGCAGAAGAAGCGCCGGCUAACUACGUGCCAGCAGCCGCGGUAAUACGUAGGGCGCAAGCGUUAUCCGGAAUUAUUGGGCGUAAAGAGCUCGUAGGCGGUUUGUCGCGUCUGCCGUGAAAGUCCGAGGCUCAACCUCGGAUCUGCGGUGGGUACGGGCAGACUAGAGUGAUGUAGGGGAGACUGGAAUUCCUGGUGUAGCGGUGAAAUGCGCAGAUAUCAGGAGGAACACCGAUGGCGAAGGCAGGUCUCUGGGCAUUUACUGACGCUGAGGAGCGAAAGCAUGGGGAGCGAACAGGAUUAGAUACCCUGGUAGUCCAUGCCGUAAACGUUGGGCACUAGGUGUGGGGGACAUGCCACGUUUUCCGCGCCGUAGCUAACGCAUUAAGUGCCCCGCCUGGGGAGUACGGCCGCAAGGCUAAAACUCAAAGGAAUUGACGGGGGCCCGCACAAGCGGCGGAGCAUGCGGAUUAAUUCGAUGCAACGCGAAGAACCUUACCAAGGCUUGACAUGUUCCAGACCGGGCCAGAGAUGGUCUUUCCCCUUUUGGGGCUGGUUCACAGGUGGUGCAUGGUUGUCGUCAGCUCGUGUCGUGAGAUGUUGGGUUAAGUCCCGCAACGAGCGCAACCCUCGUUCCAUGUUGCCAGCGGGUUAUGCCGGGGACUCAUGGGAGACUGCCGGGGUCAACUCGGAGGAAGGUGGGGAUGACGUCAAAUCAUCAUGCCCCUUAUGUCUUGGGCUUCACGCAUGCUACAAUGGCCGGUACAAUGGGUUGCGAUACUGUGAGGUGGAGCUAAUCCCUAAAAGCCGGUCUCAGUUCGGAUUGGGGUCUGCAACUCGACCCCAUGAAGUCGGAGUCGCUAGUAAUCGCAGAUCAGCAACGCUGCGGUGAAUACGUUCCCGGGCCUUGUACACACCGCCCGUCAAGUCACGAAAGUUGGUAACACCCGAAGCCGAUGGCCUAACCACCUUGCGUGGGGGGAGUCGUCGAAGGUGGGACUGGCGAUUGGGACUAAGUC